rnacentral:rRNA from 1 species
AGCAGCCGCGGUAAUUCCAGCUCCAAUAGCGUAUAUUAAAGUUGUUGCAGUUAAAAAGACUCGUAGUUGAAUUUCGGGGUUAGUAGAUUGGUCGUACCACUGGUGCGUACUGGUCUCACUGAUUCCUCCUUCCUGAUGAACUGUAAUGCCAUUAAUUUGGUGUUGCAGGGAAACUGGACUGUUACUUUGAAAAAAUUAGAGUGUUUAAAGCAAGCUAACGCUUGAAUACAUUAGCAUGGAAUAAUGAAAUAGGACGUUCGAUCCUAUUUUGUUGGUUUCUGGGAUUGACGUAAUGAUUAAUAGGGAUAGUUGGGGGCAUUAGUAUUCAAUUGUCAGAGGUGAAAUUCUUGGAUUUAUUGAAGACUAACUACUGCGAAAGCAUUUGCCAAGGAUGUUUUCAUUAAUCAAGAACGAAAGUUAGGGGAUCGAAGACGAUCAGAUACCGUCGUAGUCUUAACCAUAAACUAUGCCGACUAGGGAUCGGAUGAUGUUAAUUUUUUAAUGACCCAUUCGGCGCCUU